UUAGAUACAACACUCACAUUGUACAAGUUAUAUGGAACAGGAUUAUUACUUACAGAUAGGUGGCAAGGGACAACAGAAGCCCAGGAUCCACAGUGAGCUGGUCAGCCGAGGCUCUGGAGAGCUGUCGGGGGUGGAUGGAGUCCUGACUGAACAUGCCACACUUGGACUGCAGCUUAGGGAUCCCAAAAGGCAACCCACCUUGAGUUAACUCAGGGGACAUAUGAUGUUUCCUUUCCUGCCCAAUUUAUCUGGUUAAAACGUCUGAUACACUGUUGAAUAGAAGAGGCAAGGGCACAUGUUCAUGUCUUGUUCCUGAUAUUGGGAGAAAGCAUCCCGUUUUUCACCACUCUGGCCAGGACAGCCUAUCUGUGCAGGAGGCAUUGCUGGCACCCCGUGGGGACUGAGGACCAAGGAGGAGCUGCUCCCCCACACACGGUUCGUACUUCUGCUCUGUGAAGAGAGACAACUGUGCCCUGUCACCUUCACUGAACUA
rnacentral:lncRNA from 1 species